GUAGCUGUUGAAACCAUGAAGCAUAUAUAGAAAAUGAAUAUAAUAUACAUUUUUUAAAAACUGUGGUAAGUAUAUAGGGUGUAUUUUGGAUAUCGGCGUGCUUUGAGUUCCAGUUAAUUUGUGAAUUUUAUCUGUGUGAUGCUGCUUACAUUAAAGCUAAUUCAUUUUCACACUUCUCUUUUCAGGUAUCUGAAAUAAUAUUCAUACCUUAUCUUAAAUUGGAAAGUGUCAGGGGUACUAUCAAGUAUCUAUGAAAUAAUUGUAUGGGCGCUCAUGUGCAUAUAUAAAAAUGUCUGUCCUUCUCUAAAGGAAAUAUGAAGCAUAACAUUUUAUGCCACUAAAUGAUUAAGAUGUAUUAAGGACUGAAUUCAAGUUCUUUGAAUUAAUGAGCUGACUGAGGCAGAACAAAUCACAAAAACUUUACAGCUGAAAAGCCAACUGCAUCUCAUGUAGCAAGUAAUUUAAGGAAUAGCAUCAGAUUCCAGACAUUCUUUAUGUUCAGGUCAGUUGGUAUCAUAUGACUGUAAUAAAAUAUUUCCUCUAACCAUUAGAAUCAAAAUAUUGCAAUUAAGAUGUGAAGUACUGUUAGCCAGCAGAAUAAAGCAAAAUUUAAAAAGACAGCAAUGAGAUAGAAUGACAAACUCUUAUGCUGCUUGUUUUGAUUCCCCCCUGCAGUGAGGAUUUUAUGGCUAUUUUAAGAUGUCCAACCUCUCCCCUAAUUAUUUUCUAGGGAACUGUGAAAGUUCUGCUUCUCCUGGUAUGGAUAUUUUUCUGAUCAGAGAUAGGCAGUAAAGACUGAUCUUCAGAAAUAAUUAUGCGCUUUCUACUGAAGCCAUUACAAAUGAAACCCCUGAAGUAGAACUGAUGAGAGGCAGAUGGUCAGAUAGUUUUGUUUUGAAGGAGAAGCAGGCAGAACCAUCUCCUCCUGUGGCAGGGUUAUGUACUGGCACAUGGAGCAGCUGAAGAGAGGAGGAACGUUAUGUAGGUAAUGUGAUUCCUACAGCUAAAGGAACAGAGAAGUGUUUUGUCCCACCUGGUUGGGUUAUUACUUUAGCACAGGUGUUAUUCACUUAACAGCUACUUCAAGGUAAAUUUAGGCAAUAGCUACUAAAGAAAAAGAAUAAAAAUAGAUCAAGAGAGAGACUUGUCACCACUCCUUGGAUCUAGCAUUGUACCAAACUGAACUCUUAGAUCCAUGAGAAGCAAGUCAACAAAAGCAAAUUGUACAUGUUCACCUGUAUAUAAUUUUAUGGGAACCAUUAAGUCUCGGCCUGAACCAGUGAUUGAGCACCUGGUGAAGGGGCUGAGCCAGCUCUGGGAGCACAGGUGCGAGCAAUUCACUUGUGCCAGCCUAACCACAUUUAAGGGCUGGCCAGCACAAAGGAGGGGUUUUCACUUGGAGAUUCUGUCCUGUGGGGUGUUUGGUGAACUUUGAUCCUCAGAGAGGGUUCCCUGCCCACCAGGAGAUCUGCAAGCUUUCACAGACUAAAGGGGUUCCUGCUAGAAGGCAGACUGAGGUAGAGAAGAUAAAUUGAGAACGGAGCAAAUCUAAGGGAAUAUCCUAAGAAGCCUGAAAUGAAACUCGGGCGCAUCAGACAUGCUGGAUUGAUGGAGCUGGGCACUGACGCACCAGGUCUUUUCCAGCUGCAAUGAAGGGGGAGAAUUGAAUCUGGAUCCUUUUAACCAGUCCUCCAAGAGCAAGAUUUCAGUUACCGUGACUGUUCGCCAAGGACUAUUUUAUUUUAACCCAUGUCAAAUUUGAGCUUACCUAUGGGGCUAAACCACAGCCUUCUAAGCCAAGUGUAUCUAAAUACAAACUCAUUUCACUGACUGUUUGUUACUUUUUGGAAAACGUAGCCACAUACAGUUGUUUGGAACAAUCUCCAAAAAAACUAGACUUUUCAAGCUUUGCUGAAUUUGAAAUACUACAUUCUUUUUCCUCCCAGCUUACAAAGUCCAGUAGUUCCUUGUUUACUAAAAAAAAUGAAAUGAACAGGAGUUAGACAUUUAAAUUUUCUCUUUGGGAUAAAUAAGAUAAAUUUAAUGGUGUGAUUGUCCCUCAUUCAGUAAACCAUAAGUAACUGUGAGUUUCUCAACAAAUGAUGUUUAUUUGGGCACUUUUGGUUGAUGAUUUCUUUUUUGUAAACCAUGAAUUUAUCUUUUUAUUGACUGUUCUGCAACAGUAACUGGAUCAGCAUGCUAUAGUUUUUUCUACCCAGAAAAGCAUUUGCUUGGUUUUCUUCAUUUGGGUUGAGAUAAUUAGAAUAAUGGUGAUGGUGAAGAAUAGACUGAGUGAGAAGGUUCUCCUUAAGUAUCUGUUAAUGUGCAGCAUAUAUAACAAAUGAGUGAGGCAGAAAAGAAAGCAAGAGCAGCAGCAUUUGUGUUAGUAGUUUUCUUGAUGUUAAUUGUAUGUGUUAUAGAUCACCACCGUGGGCUGGACAGCAGUCAGGGUGAAUAGUACCAGAGAUGAACAGUUGUCUCAUUGGCAGUCCACACAGCUGGUUGAAGCACAGUCAGUUUUCUUGGUACGUUUGGCUUCAUGAAGUAUUUUCUUUGUUGUAGGGCCAUGAACAGGCAAACACUUUAUAGUGAACUGGCCAUUGUUUUGAAGCAAACAGCCUGUCCUCCUGUCAUGCAGUCUGUUCUUUAAGGAAACCUUGAAGCCACUGGAGUCCCUUACUUUGGUUGCCUGCCCCUCCUGUCCUUCUAUAGCUGUGCCAGAUGUGUUUCUGUUUUUCUUAUCUAGCCUUAUAUGAAUUUAUAUGUGCCUGAUCAGCCAUUUGUUUGUCAUUAUUUGCUAGUACUAGAUGAGAAAAGCUUAAGUGCACUGAUGUGCGCUGACUAAACCACCGCUGUGUGAUUACAGCUUGUGUAUCCCUUCACCCUUGAGCCCACACCCAUGGAUUGGAAUUGAGGCCAAACUAACUGGAGAGGAGGCCAAGCUAUCAUAUUUAUAAUUAGCCAAGAUAAGGAGUGGAAAGAAUGAAGGUUUUAUGCUGGUUGCAGUUCCUUUAAUGUGUUUUUCCUCUGUUUGCCUUUGCUUCUGGUUCCAGAAGCAACAGAGAGAGACACAAGCUCUCCUCAAAAUGCUUGCUUGUAUUUUCCAGACUUUGCUAGUUAGUUGCUGGGCUGAGUUCCUGGCACUAUGCAAUUCUCAGUGACCAGUAUUGAGUAGGAAGGCAUUUCUAUGGAGGCACCUAUUUGUCAAAUGUAAACAAUGUACUUGGCUUUCUGCAGGGCAUUGACAGGAAAGUUCUACUUACUGUGGCGAGUUGCAGUUUAGCUAACAGAUGAAAUAGAAAGGCAAGUUGCACAGGCAGCUACAGUGGAUGUUUCUAAUCGUUUAAGUUAGUGUUUUCUAGAAAGGGAGGAGAUAGCCCUUGUUCCCUGCAAAUGCAAUGUUGAUGCUAACUAGACAUAGCUAGCCACAGAGUAAACGAGAAGAAUUGGAGAAAGAACCUCAACUGGAGUAAUUGGCCAUGCCAGAGAAGGGUGAGGAAAAAAACAAAAGAUAAAAUCUAAUACACACAGAAUUAUUCUCUAUGUGAGAGUUGAAAAAGAAUAUUUUGAUGGCCAAAGGUAGUGGACAUUCAGAAAGCACGCAAGGUGGGCUAUGAAUGAAGACAGUUGAUAUUGCUGGAGUUUUAAAUGUAGAGAGGGCAGAUGUGAAGUAAUUAAGCUGCUAGGAAAGUGAGAUUAGUGGAGAAGGGAAGAGAAUUUAUGGCACAACUAAAUGAUUUGGGUAUUAAAACUGAAAGUUCUGUCUUUCUGAAAGUCAAGACAAAAUGAACUGGGAUGCUGAGGAAAAAAGGUGCAGUGCAUGAGAAGAUUUCAACGUGAGUUAGAAAUAGGAAGAUAUGAGCACUUUUUAAAUCAUGAGAAUUAAAUUUUGCAGUCAAGUCACUCUUUUAUCCCAUCUCUUCCCUUUUCCUAUUUGCUAAAUAGCUGUGGUGAAACUGUGCUGUAGGUACGGUAUAGUGUGACUAAAUACUUUGUAAUGCACUCUGAGAUACAGUACACCAAGCGGUAUAAAUAGAAAGCCAAUUGCAUAAAAUAAAUCUCUUAAUUCUUGGUGCACCAUGGUGAGGUAGCUCAGUUACAGCUUUGACCACCCAUGAAUGCUAAGAGCACAGAAGGGGGACUUUUGGAUUCACGAUUCACCUAUUAUCUUGGUUGUAGGGUAUGAAUCUCUUUGAAUGUGAAAGCAAGGUUUUGUUUAAGUGAAGAACAUAAGAAAAAGCACUUUCUUUUUUUUCCCUGAGGUGAAUGAUGAAAGGUGUAUAGAAGUGGCUAUAAAUUUUAGGAAGUAGAGAACUGGAAAAGAGGUAAUACUGAGCAGGAAUUGUAUUUUUCCAGUGUUUUUCCUGAAAUACUUAAAUGCUAAGGUUCUCCUGUACAAAAGUGUCACUCCUUGGUCUAAAUAAAUUCACUGUCAGAACAAUGGAUACUUUUUGGAAUGGAAACAAGACUGUAUUACCAUUCAGCAACUAGCAAAAGAAUAGCUACUUCCUGCCAAGGUUUGUACUCUUGAGAUGUAUGCAUGAGGUUCUAGGUGAGCGUUCAGCUCAGCUCAGUCCACUGCAGUGGACUGUGAUUUAUCUGAACUGUGGACUGACUUUUUAAGAGAUUUGGAGACUUAAAAGUGUGGGGUUGGUAGGUUGUCUUAAGGAGAGUGACAUCUGAUGGUGACUGUAGGGGCCACCUGGAAACAAUUUAAUUGCUUGCAAACAGCAAGAGACAAGCACUUUCUGAGUAGAACCAGUGUGGCUGCUCCAUUAGCAUGCAGCAUUGCUGGAAAAAUGGGAAUAUGACUUACUUCAAGGACCUUGUCUGGGUCCAAGUAAAACAUCUGAGCUAGGAAGAAUGUCAGUGUUCACACACCUUCUUGCCAGUUCCUUAGAUGACACUGUGACAGUAAUUUCUGUAAAUUAGAAGCAAGAAACAGUUAUUCAGAUACAGGCUGCGGUCAAGUCAACAAUCUUGCCUAUCUGGAGUACUGGCAAGCAGAAUUCCCUGUUUAUCCUCACUCCGCAUCUCCACUGGACUUGCUGGCUUCCAUUUAGUGUUGGCCAUGCAGAACCCAGACGACCUGAUUGAGAGUACCCAAGGAAACAAGAAUGAUCAUUCUUAAGGGGUUUUCCUGUUUUUCCAUUUUCCAAGAUACCUUA